rnacentral:rRNA from 1 species
UACGUAGGGGGCAAGCGUUGGUCCGGAUUUAUUGGGCGUAAAGAGCGUGUAGGCGGUUUUACAGGUCCGCUGUGAAAACUCGAGGCUCAACCUCGAGCUGUCGGUGGAAACCGUAAGGCUAGAGUCCGGAAGAGGAGAAUGGAAUUCCUGGUGUAGCGGUGAAAUGCGCAGAUAUCAGGAAGAACACCCGUGGCUAAGGCGGUUCUCUAGUACGGUACUGACGCUGAGACGCGAAAGCGUGGGGAGCGAACAGG